rnacentral:rRNA from 1 species
GACGAACGCUGGCGGCGUGCUUAACACAUGCAAGUCGAGCGGUAAGGCCCCUUCGGGGGUACACGAGCGGCGAACGGGUGAGUAACACGUGGGUGACCUGCCUUUAGCUCUGGGAUAAGCCUGGGAAACUGGGUCUAAUACCGGAUACGACUCCGCGGUGCAUGCUGUGGGGUGGAAAGCCUUGUGCGGCUGGAGAUGGGCCCGCGGCCUAUCAGCUUGUUGGUGGGGUGAUGGCCACCAAGGCGACGACGGGUAGCCGGCCUGAGAGGGCGACCGGCCACACUGGGACUGAGACACGGCCCAGACUCCUACGGGAGGCAGCAGUGGGGAAUCUUGCGCAAUGGGCGAAAGCCUGACGCAGCGACGCCGCGUGAGGGAUGACGGCCU